UAGGGAAUCUUCCGCAAUGGACGAAAGUCUGACGGAGCAACGCCGCGUGAGUGAAGAAGGAUUUCGGCUCGUAAAACGCCGUUGUUAGGGAAGAAAAAAUGUAUAGUAACUAUUUACAAAAGAGACGGUACUUAACCAAAAAGCCACGGCUAACUACGUGCCAGCAGCCGCGGUAAUACGUAGGUGGCAAUCGUUAUACGGAAUUAUUGGGCGUAAAGCGCACGCAGGUGGUUUAGGAAGUCUGAUGUGAAAGCCCACGGCUCAACCUUGGUACGUCAUUGGAUCCUAAUAAACUUGUGUGCAGGAGAGAAAGGUGGAAUUCCUAGUGUAGCGGUGAAAUGCGUAGAGAUUAGGAGGAACACCGGUGGCGAAGGCGACUUUUUGGACUGAAAAUGACACUGAGGCGCGAAAGCGUGGGGAGCAAACAGG
rnacentral:rRNA from 1 species